rnacentral:rRNA from 1 species
UACGUAGGCAGCGAGCGUUGUUCGGAAUUACUGGGCGUAAAGAGUGUGUAGGCGGUGCUCUAAGUUCGGUGUGAAAUCUCCCGGCUUAACUGGGAGGGUGCGCCGGAAACUGGAGCGCUCGAGCGUGGGAGAGGAAAGCGGAAUUCCUGGUGUAGCGGUGAAAUGCGUAGAUAUCAAGUGGAACACCAGUGGCGAAGGCGAGUCUCUGGACAUUUCCUGACGCUGAGGCACGAAAGCUAGGGGAGCAAACAGG